AUUGAAUUAAUAUGUCAAUUAGCAACAAAUGCAGUACAAUGGAAUACACGGGAUAAUAAUUGUUUUUCGCUUAUCCGAUUUAGUUGAAAGACAGUUUCGUACUGUGUAUUUCGUUCUUUACUGUAUUUGCUGAUACCGAAUGUUUUCAUCUGCAGCAUAUAUAUACCGCGGAAGAUGAACAAUCAUCCAACUUUCGUACAUCUCACUCCACAAAUAUCAAACUUGAAGACACGUUUUUUCAAUACUUUGUCGAAAACGCGAGUACAUAUAAAUAUGGCGAUGAGAUUUUCCUCAAUAGGUUUCUAUACAAACGAGCGCAAGGGAAAUUGUAUAAGAAACAUCAACGGUUUCAUGAGCAUAUUACAAAGACAAAACAGAUUAGAAGUAUGUUCGAUAUCAAGAAACAAUAUUUAACUGGCAGUAAUCAAGUUAACUGCAAAACUUAUUUUUGUUUCCAUAAAGGCAACCAUUAGCCGCGAAUUUCUCCUUCAUUUUGACCUGCAAAAAAGUUGUGGUGCAGUAUUGACAUCGAAUGAAUUGCAUGUUACUCCAAAGUGGCAUGUG